UACGUAGGGUGCAAGCGUUAAUCGGAAUCACUGGGCGUAAAGGGCGCGUAGGCGGCUUUGUAAGUCGGGGGUGAAAGCCUGUGGCUCAACCACAGAAUUGCCUUCGAUACUGCAUGGCUUGAGACCGGAAGAGGUAAGUGGAACUGCGAGUGUAGAGGUGAAAUUCGUAGAUAUUCGCAAGAACACCAGUGGCGAAGGCGGCUUACUGGUCCGGUUCUGACGCUGAGGCGCGAAAGCGUGGGGAGCAAACAGG
rnacentral:rRNA from 1 species